rnacentral:rRNA from 1 species
GAUCAUGGCUCAGGAUGAACGCUAGCUACAGGCUUAACACAUGCAAGUCGGAGGGGAAACGAUAUUGGAAGCUUGCUUCCAAUAGGCGUCGACCGGCGCACGGGUGAGUAACGCGUAUCCGACCUGCCCACCACUUGGGGAUAACCUUGCGAAAGUAAGACUAAUACCCAAUGACGUCUCUAGAAGACGUCUGAAGGAGAUUAAAGAUUUAUCGGUGAUGGAUGGGGAUGCGUCUGAUUAG